GGAGAGAUGGCUGAGCGGCUGAAGGCACAUCCCUGCUAAGGAUGCGUAUCUGUAUGGGUACCGCGGGUUCGAAUCCCGCUCUCUCCG
rnacentral:tRNA from 1 species